GACGAACGCUGGCGGCGUGCUUAACACAUGCAAGUCGAACGGAAAGGCCCUGCUUUUGCGGGGUGCUCGAGUGGCGAACGGGUGAGUAACACGUGAGUAACCUGCCCCUGACUUUGGGAUAACAUCAGGAAAAUGGGGCUAAUACCGGAUAGGAGCUCCUGCUGCAUGGUGGGGGUUGGAAAGUUUCGGCGGUUGGGGCUGGACUCGCGGCUUAUCAGCUUGUUGGUGGGGUAGUGGCUUACAAAGGCUUUGACGGGUAGCCGGCCUGAGAGGGUGACCGGCCUCCUUGGGACUGAGAUACGGCCCAGAAUCCUACGUGAGGCAGCAGUGGGGAAUAUUGCACAAUGGGCGGAAGCCUGAUGCAGCAGCGCCGCGUGCGGGAUGACGGCCUUCGGGUUGUAAACCGCUUUCGCAGGUGCCGAAGCGUGAGUGACGGUAAUGGGUAAAGAAGCACCGGCUAACUACGUG
rnacentral:rRNA from 1 species